AUUGAACGCUGGCGGCAUGCUUUACACAUGCAAGUCGAACGGCAGCGCGGGCUUCGGCCUGGCGGCGAGUGGCGAACGGGUGAGUAAUACAUCGGAACGUGCCCAGUAGUGGGGGAUAGCUCGGCGAAAGCCGGAUUAAUACCGCAUACGACCUGAGGGUGAAAGCGGGGGAUCUUCGGACCUCGCGCUAUUGGAGCGGCCGAUGGCAGAUUAGCUAGUUGGUGGGGUAAAGGCCUACCAAGGCGACGAUCUGUAGCUGGUCUGAGAGGACGACCAGCCACACUGGGACUGAGACACGGCCCAGACUCCUACGGGAGGCAGCAGUGGGGAAUUUUGGACAAUGGGCGAAAGCCUGAUCCAGCAAUGCCGCGUGUGUGAUGAAGGCCUUCGGGUUGAAAAGCACUUUUGGCGGGAACGAAAAGGACUGUGCCAAUACCACGGUUCGAUGACGGUACCCGCAGAAUAAGCACCGGCUAACUACGUG
rnacentral:rRNA from 1 species